rnacentral:rRNA from 1 species
AAGCGCGCGUAGGUGGUUUGUUAAGUUGGAUGUGAAAUCCCCGGGCUCAACCUGGGAACUGCAUCCAAAACUGGCAAGCUAGAGUAUGGUAGAGGGUGGUGGAAUUUUCCUGUGUAGCGGUGAAAUGCGUAGAUAUAGGAAGGAACACCAGUGGCGAAGGCGACCACCUGGACUGAUACUGACACUGAGGUGCGAAAGCGUGGGGAGCAAACAGGAUUAGAUACCCCUGU